AAGUCGUAACAAGGUUUCCGUAGGUGAACCUGCGGAAGGAUCAUUAAAGAGUUAGGGUCCUAGUGGCCCAACCUCCAACCCCCUGUUGUUAAAACUACCUUGUUGCUUUGGCGGGACCGUUCGGUCUCCGAGCGCGUUAAGUCCCAUCCGGGUUCGGGCUGAGCAGCCCGCCCAGCAGUCCAACCAAAACAUCUUGUAUUAAACCAGUCGUCUGAGUAUAAAAUUUUAAUUAAAUUAAAA
rnacentral:misc_RNA from 1 species